rnacentral:rRNA from 1 species
CCUACGGGUGGCAGCAGUGGGGGAUAUUGCACAAUGGGGGAAACCCUGAUGCAGCGACGCCGCGUGAGUGAAGAAGUAUUUCGGUAUGUAAAGCUCUAUCAGCAGGGAAGAAAAUGACAGUACCUGACCAAGAAGCCCCGGCUAACUACGUGCCAGCAGCCGCGGUAAUACGUAGGGGGCAAGCGUUAUCCGGAUUUACUGGGUGUAAAGGGAGCGUAGACGGUUAUGUAAGUCUGGAGUGAAAGCCCGGGGCCCAACCCCGGGACUGCUCUUGGAACUGCGCGGCUGGAGUGCAGGAGGGGCAGGCGGAAUUCCUGGUGUAGCGGUGAAAUGCGUAGAUAUCAGGAGGAACACCGGUGGCGAAGGCGGCCUGCUGGACUGCGACUGACGUUGAGGCCCGAAAGCGUGGGGAGCAAACAGGAUUAGAUACCCGGGUAGUC